CCAUAAGUUCAACUCGUGUUAAACCUCUUAUCAAAUUUUUAAAAAUUUCUGUUAAGACUAAUAAUUUAUCUACUGAGUACCUACCAAAUAAAAAUUAGGAAAAAAACUAACAGAAUUUAAAUGUUUAUAAAUAGCUUAAAAAUUACUCUAAUGUUCUGAAAGUUUUACUAAGUCUUGAAAAAUUAAAAUAAGUUUUCUAUCGACAUUUUAAGUCGCUACAAAUAUUUUAACCUAAAUUACAUUAAAAAAACAUUUUUUAAAUUUUAAAAAUAAUUCCCGUACAUUUUCCCGUUCUCGUAUGUAUUUUUCGGUUUUGCACAAUUAUUAAAAAACUACAAAGAAAAUUAAAAAACAACUUGUUUAGUCACCAAUUAGAUCAAAAAGUCAACAAAAUAGAUCACUUGAUGUUUUUCUAUUAGAGCAAUAUUUCUAGUAGAAAAUGGAAAUUGUCACGCCGUAAAAUAUUAUUACAUAGCUACUUUCAAAAUCCAAAUUUUCCAAUACCUUUAUUUAUUUGAAUCACGAAGAUCAAACAACAAAGUUCGUAAAGUUCACCAUCCAGUAGGACAACACUGGUUUCGUGAGUUCGUGCCAUGUAUCAUCUAAUGAUAACAGACUAACAAAGAUGCACGCCAAAUGGUGUUUAUGCGAUUUAUUCU